rnacentral:rRNA from 1 species
CCGGUGUGUGAAGAAGGCCUGAGGGUUGUAAGCACUUUCAAUAGGAAGGAAUACCUAUCGGUUAAUACCCGGUAGACUGACAUUACCUAUACAAGAAGCACCGGCUAACUCCGUGCCAGCAGCCGCGGUAAUACGGAGGGUGCAAGCGUUAAUCGGAAUUACUGGGCGUAAAGCGUGCGUAGGCGGUUAUUUAAGUCAGAUGUGAAAGCCCUGGGCUUAACCUGGGAACUGCAUUUGAUACUGGAUGACUAGAGUUGAGUAGAGGAGAGUGGAAUUUCAGGUGUAGCGGUGAAAUGCGUAGAGAUCUGAAGGAACACCAGUGGCGAAGGCGGCUCUCUGGACUCAAACUGACGCUGAGGUACGAAAGCGUGGGUAGCAAACAGGAUUAGAUACCCUGGUAGUCCACGCCGUAAACGAUGUCAACUAACCGUUGGGUUCUUUAAGAACUUAGUGGUGGAGCUAACGUAUUAAGUUGACCGCCUGGGGAGUACGGCCGCAAGGCUAAAACUCAAAUGAAUUGACGGGGGCCCGCACAAGCGGUGGAGCAUGUGGUUUAAUUCGAUGCAACGCGAAGAACCUUACCUACCCUUGACAUGUAGCGAAUCCUUUAGAGAUAGAGGAGUNGCUUCGGGAACGCUAACACAGGUGCUGCAUGGCUGUCGUCAGCUCGUGUCUUGAGAAGUUGGGGUAAGACCGCGAAGAGGCGAACCUUUCUUUAUUGCCGCGGUAUGCGG